UGUGCCCUUUCCUAUAUUGUCCCCCUCUCUCCACCAUCCACCCACAGCCCGAGCCACUUGCCCUGAAGAGAGCUGGCAGGACUACAGUGAGGCAAACAAAGAUACAAAUGGCCUCUUCAGACAGCUCGCACUCGCAUCUAUUACCCCUCAUUUCUGCGACUCACAAAAGCCCCUCAUCGAACCGCUGUUGCACGCUUGUGACGGGCUGCACGGAGCCGUCACACCGGCCUUCAGGGCUCGCGGCUUCCGCAGUCCAGACAGUCAGAGGUCAGUAAUGAAUAUACAUGUGUGGUCUACACCGUGGAUGAUACUGGGAGAAAUAGAGCGAGGGAGGAAGAUGAAUACUGAGUUAACGUGCUGAGCGGAGCACGGAUACAUUCCCAGUUCCCCAGUCACAAUGUCCUCUGCUGUUAGUCUCAGUCUGGCUUGUGAACAUAAAUAUUUACAUGGCUGUCACGAUCAGGAUUUAUAGGACAUCUCUCCGCUCUUCCCGUAAGAGAAAUCUAAAGUAUGCUUUAUUCCCUCUUUUCUCUUGCAGAGGUAAGUUUCCUUUGGCACAGCGGCAAUGAAAUUCGUGUUUGCUCUGGGAUGUCUUUGCAGCCCUGUUUUCUCAGUAUUGUAUACUGAGUGCAUGGGGUGUGAAUAUUGUCUCAUUAUAUUGACAGUUCCCGUCCUUGCCAGUUUCAAUAACCAGCAUUCAGCAAAAGAAGUGCUCUAAUAUAAACAGUUUGGAUAUUUCCAACUGGUGGGCUGGUGGUGUGAGAAAGGGGAACAGAGGCAAUAAAACACAUGCACCAUACUUAUUGUCUUCCUUUGUAACACUGGAUGCAAUAACCAUUCCGCAAGCUAACCUGCCUGUUGUGUGUUUCUGUGUGGAUGUAGACGUGUCCAGACAAGCUCCAAAUAGUUUUUGACCAUUACCCGAAUAUUCUCGACUGACGCCGCACCGACGCAAGCGCCUUUCCUUCAGUAUUUUUUUUCCCCUUCUUCUCACCUACUCGUUUUCUUCCUGAUUCCAUUCUAAUCUGCCAAUGCCAAAUCUAUUUUGUCAUGUAACUCCUCUGAUAGGUUGGCAUGUAAUUAACUCCUUGGCAUACACUGUGGGUUGUCAUUUGCAUGGUAAUAAAUCUCUGCUCCUUACUGUAGGUGGGGGGGAAGCAUUCAGGACCGUGUGCUCAGCUUCAGCAAACAUACCCGUCUAACCCCCUUAUCGACUACCCAGACUACGAGCUGUUCAGUCAGAGAGAGGGAUAAUCGUCAUUUCCAGGUGGCACACAAUGUUGAUUACACCUUGCGUUUAUUUUUAUGAAGGUAUUUAAAGCAGCACUGUGGCUGAACGGAGCUUUCAGAUGACUGACUGCUAUUAAUCUGAUGGUGCAUUUGGAAGCCUUGUAUUUAUUUGUUCCUACAAGCCUUCUGCCAUCCAUUACAGUCAUUUCCCUUUGUCCACUUUAUCAGCUGUGAGGCUCAUUCUUCCUGGAGAUCCUUGGCCGUCGCCCAAACUAUUGCUUAUACGAAACGUAUCUGCCAAGACGGUGGGGAGAGAUACCGAACCGGGCGUGCGGACGCUCUCCUGUGUGCACACGAACAUUGUGAAGAAAUGAAGGGUCUGUGGGGCAAAGAGAGGAGGGUUGGGGUGGAGGGGGGGGAUUGGGUGGGCGAGGUGAUUAUAUGUGUGUGUUUUUUAGAGAUGGAUGAACGGAGUAAAGAUUGCACUCAUCUGUCGUGGUACAGUGCUCCCAUCAAGUCUAAUGAGUGUGCCGGGGUGACCUCAGUCUCGUAGGUUCACAGGCCUGAUUAAACAUCGUCUCAGACUCGGCUCAGGGGAUGUCGGGCAGACCAGCACCGUCUAUCCCCCCCCCACCCCCGCUUUGCUCCCCUCCAUCGUUCUAAUGGCUCCUUCUGAUCUAACCCCAUUUAUCUCUAUCACUGUAUUCACCCCUCUCGCCCCCUCACCCACAAACGCACACACACACACACACAUUUCCACCAGUUAUAUUCUUACCUUUGUUCGACUGUCACCUGUUGUGUUGUGUCUGUGUGAUGCUGUGAUUUU